AUUGAACGCUGGCGGCAGGCCUAACACAUGCAAGUCGAGCGGAUGAAGGGAGCUUGCUCCUGGAUUCAGCGGCGGACGGGUGAGUAAUGCCUAGGAAUCUGCCUGGUAGUGGGGGAUAACGUCCGGAAACGGGCGCUAAUACCGCAUACGUCCUGAUGGAGAAAGUGGGGGAUCUUCGGACCUCACGCUAUCAGAUGAGCCUAGGUCGGAUUAGCUAGUUGGUGGGGUAAAGGCCUACCAAGGCGACGAUCCGUAACUGGUCUGAGAGGAUGAUCAGUCACACUGGAACUGAGACACGGUCCAGACUCCUACGGGAAGCAGCAGUCGGGAAUAUUGGGCAAUGGGCGAAAGCCUGAUCCAGCCAAGCCGCGUGUGUGAAGAAGGUCUUCGGAUUGUAAAGCACUUUAAGUUGGGAGGAAGGGCAGUAAGUUAAUACCUUGCUGUUUUGACGGUACCAACAGAAUAAGCACCGGCUAACUUCGUG
rnacentral:rRNA from 1 species